rnacentral:rRNA from 1 species
CACAGGGAGGUAGUGACAGUAAAUAACAAUGUAGGGCCCUUUGGGUCUUACAAUUGGAAUGAGAACAAUUUAAAUCCCUUAUCGAGUAACAAUUGGAGGGCAAGUCUGGUGCCAGCAGCCGCGGUAAUUCCAGCUCCAAUAGCGUAUAUUAAAGUUGUUGCAGUUAAAAAGCUCGUAGUUGAACCUUGGGUGCGGUGCACAUGGUCGGCCUUUGGUCAGACUGUGUCACCAAGCCUCUUUGCUGGGGACUCUAGUCGUGAGAUUAGAGGCAACCGGCGGUUACUGUGAAGAAAUUAGAGUGUUUAAAGCAGGCUUACGCUUGAAUACAUCAGCAUGGAAUAACAAUAUAGGACUUGGGUUCUAUUUUGUUGGUUUGAGGGCUCAAGUAAUGAUUAAUAGGGCCAGUUGGGGGCAUUAGUAUUCAGUAGUCAGAGGUGAAAUUCUUGGAUUUACUGAAGACUAACUAGUGCGAAAGCAUUUGCCAAGGAUGUUUUCAUUAAUCAAGAACGAAAGUUAGGGGAUCGAAGACGAUCAGAUACCGUCGUAGUCUUAACCAUAAACGAUGCCGACUUGGGAUCAGCAAAUGUCGUUAGCGACUUUGUUGGCACCAUGUGAGAAAUCAAAGUUUUUGGGUUCUGGGGGGAGUAUGGUCGCAAGGCUGAAACUUAAAGGAAUUGACGGAAGGGCACCACCAGGAGUGGAGCCUGCGGCUUAAUUUGACUCAACACGGGAAAACUCACCAGGUCCGGACAUAGUAAGGAUUGACAGAUUGAGAGCUCUUUCUUGAUUCUGUGGGUGGUGGUGCAUGGCCGUUCUUAGUUGGUGGAGUGAUUUGUCUGGUUAAUUCCGAUAACGAACGAGACCUUAACCUGCUAACUAGUAGCUGGAAGUACGCUUCCAGUCGACUUCUUAGAGGGACUGACUACGUUUAGUAGUCGGAAGUUUGAGGCAAUAACAGGUCUGUGAUGCCCUUAGAUGUUCUGGGCUGCACGCGCGCUACACUGACAAAGUCAGCGAGUAUCAACCUUGACCGAAAGGUCUGGGUAAUCUUGUGAAACUUUGUCGUGCUGGGGAUAGAUCAUUGCAAUUAUUGAUCUUGAACGAGGAAUUCCUAGUAAGCGCAUGUCAUCAGCAUGCGUUGAUUACGUCCCUGCCCUUUGUACACACCGCCCGUCGCUACUACCGAUU